AGGGUAACCUGCGGAGGGAUCAUUACAGAGUUAUCCAACUCCCAAACCCAUGUGAACUUAUCUCUUUGUUGCCUCGGCGCAAGCUACCCGGGACCUCGCGCCCCGGGCGGCCCGCCGGCGGACAAACCAAAACUCUUGUUAUCUUAGUUGAUUAUCUGAGUGUCUUAUUUAAUAAGUCAAAACUUUCAACAACGGAUCUCUUGGUUCUGGCAUCGAUGAAGAACGCAGCGAAAUGCGAUAAGUAAUGUGAAUUGCAGAAUUCAGUGAAUCAUCGAAUCUUUGAACGCACAUUGCGCCCAUUAGUAUUCUAGUGGGCAUGCCUGUUCGAGCGUCAUUUCAACCCCUAAGCACAGCUUAUUGUUGGGAACCUACGGCUUCGUAGUUCCUCAAAGACAUUGGCGGAGUGGCAGUGGUCCUCUGAGCGUAGUAAUCUUUUAUCUCGCUUCUGUUAGGUGCUGCCCCCCCGGCCGUAAAACCCCCAAUUUUUUCUGGUUGACCUCGGAUCAGGUAGGAAUACCCGCUGAACUUAAGCAUAUCAAUAAGCGGAGGA
rnacentral:rRNA from 2 species